rnacentral:rRNA from 1 species
UAACAAGGUUUCGCCCGUCACGGAAGCCUUGCACCACCAGUCUGCUCCCCGGAGCGGGCAACGCUUGAUUGAUGCUGGGAGAACGCCUCGCCCGGGGCCUAACCAGCAGCCGUCGUGCCUAGCACUUCGGUCCACAGAUCAUCUUCAGGCGGUCCUCAGGGAUCAAGAUAUGACCGGAACCGCCCGUCACAGGGUGGGAGCCUCGUUCCGUAGGUGGGCAAUUCGCCUACCCAAGCCCCAGCAGCGACGUUAAAGAAACGCGCGGUCUGCACCCCCGGGUGCAGGCAACACCGUUCAAGUGCUAAGAGUGCCCGGCGCAAGCCCGUCAUCACCAGCAGCCAGCGCCCCGUGCCUGGUCCACAGAUCAAUCGACGGUGACCCCUUUGGGGCUGAGAUAUGACCGGUCCCAGGCCCCCGCGGGCCUGGGAGCCACGGAACCUGCGGAAGGAUCAUUACCGAGAGCCUGGGGCCUAACCGGCCCCAACUCUUCACCCGUGUCUACAGAAACAAACCGUUGCUUUGGCGGGCCAGGGCUCCGUCCCUGGGUGGGCUCACCCCCAGCCAGCGCCCGCCGAAGGCCCAACCCAACCCUGUCAUCAGUGUCGUCCGAGUAAACAUCAAUAACUAAAACUUUCAACAACGGAUCUCUUGGUUCCCGCAUCGAUGAAGAACGCAGCGAAAUGCGAAAAGUAAUGUGAAUUGCAGAAUUCCGUGAAUCAUCGAAUCUUUGAACGCACAUUGCGCCCUUUGGUAUUCCGAAGGGCAUGCCUGUUCGAGCGUCAUUGCACCCCUCAAGCAUCGCUUGGUAUUGGGCUUCGCCCCCGUGGCGGGCCUGGAAUUCAGUGGCGGUCCAGCGAGACUUCAAGCGUAGCAAGAUUUCCCAUCCCGCUUUGGAAGCUUCCCGCUGCGUGCCGGCCAGCCAACCCACAAUUUAUCAAUGGUUGACCUCGGAUCAGGUAGGGAUACCCGCUGAA